CCGGGGAGAAGUACGGCGAGCCUGUCAUUAUUCAGAGAGGCUAGAUCCUCCGUGUUGAGAAGGAUCAUGAUGGGCUCCUCGGUGUUCUCCAGG
ensembl:miRNA